GGGAUUGCCUCAGUAACGGCGAGUGAAGCGGCAACAGCUCAAAUUUGAAAUCUGGCCUCCUCCGGGGGUCCGAGUUGUAAUUUGCAGAGGGUGCUUUGGUGGUGGCGGCGGUCUAAGUUCCCUGGAACAGGACAUCGCAGAGGGUGAGAAUCCCGUACGUGGGCGCCUGCCACCUCCGUGUAAAGCCCCUUCGACGAGUCGAGUUGUUUGGGAAUGCAGCUCUAAAUGGGAGGUAAAUUUCUUCUAAAGCUAAAUACCGGCCAGAGACCGAUAGCGCACAAGUAGAGUGAUCGAAAGAUGAAAAGUACUUUGGAAAGAGAGUAAAAUAGCACGUGAAAUUGUUGUAGAGGAAGCGCUUGCAGCCAGACUUCCCCGUAGUUGCUCACCCGGGCUCUUGCCCGGGGCACUCUUCUGCGGGGAGGCCAGCAUCAGUUUGGGCGGUCGGAGAAAGGCCUCUGUCACGUAUCUCCCUCCGGGGAGACCUUAUAGGGGAGGCGCAAUGCGACCAGCCCGGACUGAGGUCCGCGCAUCUGCCAGGAUGCUGGCGUAAUGGCUGUAAGCGGCCCGUCUUGAAACACGGACCAAGGAGUCUAACAUCUAUGCGAGUGUUUGGGUGUCAAGCCCGGGCGCGCAAUGAAAGUGAACGGAGGUGGGAACCCUCGGGUGCACCAUCGACCGAUCCUGAUGUCUUCGGAUGGAUUUGAGUAAGAGCAUAGCUGUUGGGACCCGAAAGAUGGUGAACUAUGCUUGAAUAGGGUGAAGCCAGAGGAAACUCUGGUGGAGGCUCGCAGCGGUUCUGACGUGCAAAUCGAUCGUCAAAUUUGGGCAUAGGGGCGAAAGACU
rnacentral:rRNA from 1 species